UAAAGAAAUCUUGACCUGCCUCAGCCAAACUGCUGAUGCGUUACUCCCUCUGUGAUGUCAUGGUGGUUGUUGCUAUGAUGACUGGUACCCACUGUGUCCCAUCAGUCUUCUUUCCAUAAAAAGCAGGUAGAAAAAAUACUGGCUCUAAGCUGAAUUGCCACUGCCUCCUUAGCAGCCAUUGGGAAGGCGACUGCCCCUCUCUGUAUGAGGAUGAUGAUAAUAUGUACUUCCUAUGGUUGUUAGGACUGAGGUCAAGGAUUUGAAAACAUUAUUCUGACCUUAAUUUCGAGACACUUCUGGUGGUCCUGCUCUGUACCAAGUACCACUUUUUAGGAUGGUCAUUGAGAAGUGUUCAGAGGAAGCAAUGUGGGAAGGUCAAAGAAGCAUGAGUGAAGAAACUGGGCAGAUUUAGCCUGGAGAAGGGAACACUUGGGAGAGAGCUGAGAGCUGCCUUGCAGUACUUGAAAGAAUAGGUUUAUUCUGUCUGGAUCUUGUCUUAUUUGAUAUUUUGCUUUGACAUAGUUUUUGAUGAAAUCUUUCGCUUUUAAUUAAUGCCCUCUUGACUUACUAAAAGUAAAAUCACAGGUGGGGGUUCAUGAGCGUUGCUGACUAACUGUAUGUCAGAAGCAAAGAGUAGCUUUAUGGGGGUUCAGCGAGAACUGAUGUUCUAGGCUCCAAUAAGAGAGUCAUAAUAUCCAGAGUGGAGAAUUGGGUGUUUUGUCGAAAACUGCAGUCUAAGAGCUGGGGGAAGAAUUAAGAGUCUUUGCUACAACAUACAAGGAGUCAUUGAGUUUUCUUUUGAAGACCUCUAAGGAAGGGGAGCUUACUCUCUCCUACGGCAAUGGAUUCUUAAUUUUAAUAGCUCUAAGCAUCUGGAAUAUUUUGUGUACGUACAUUCAGCCCAAAUCUCUAGCCAGGGGUCCUAGUUCUGCUAUGGAGGUCAGGCAGAAGAAGUCAUCCUUAUCUCCAAUAAGAUCGUAUUGUUUGGAUGAUAAAAUGUGGAAUUUGGAGUGAGAAGUCAUAGGUUGAAGUCUCAGUUCUCAGAUGUGUUAGACACGUGCAUCUACAAAGAUAGGUCACUGAACAUUUAUUGCCUUCAGUUUCUUUAUCUGUAAAAUGGGGGUCCAUCACAAGUAUAUAUUAAUCCCCUACCAUGUUCCAGACACUGAGGAUACAAAGAUAAAAAUGAAUCAACCUCUGCUCCUGCAGAACUUCUGACUCUCUUGCUCAUGGGGAGAAAAAGGAAAACAUUUGGAAAAUUUAAAAAUGCUACAGACAGAUGAGCUCCACAGCCCAUCCUUCAAAAUCCAUGGGUAGCUGCCAUGCUAUGACUCCUGAGUCUCCUUAGAAGAUUAAACAGUAAUAAAUAGAUAAAUGAUUUACAUUUUGAACAAAUGUAAAAUCUAGACAGUGAGAAGUGUAUGGGGAAGGGGCUGGAGCUCAGUGCCUAACUCUGAUCCCACCUUGGAAACCCUUUAAAUACCCAGAAGUUGGAGAAUCAUUCAUGAUACACUGAUGGAAAGUGAUCUGCUUUAACUAGCACAGAAGCAUAAACCUAGCACAUAGUAGGCACUUCAUAACUGGAUGAAUGAAUAACGAAUGUCAUGUAGAACACAAGUGAGGGCAGAUUUGAUUCUAAUGCAGAAGAAAAGGGUUUAAAAAAAAAGAACUAUAAUUGUGAGGAAUCCAGAGAAAGCUGGACAGUCCUUAGGAAACCAUUCAAUGCGACUUCAGCAAGCAAGCAAAUAAGACUGCUUCCCAACAGGACCAGAGGAAUUGAGGGCCUCAAUAAUUAGAACUGUUGGUAUGGCGGAUGGAGAGCUGGACUUGGAAUCAGGGAUACAAUACGUGUGUUCAAAUCCUGUCUCUGACCUUUCCCAGCUGUGUGCUCCUGGAGUAGUGACUGCUAAAUCCUGAUGAUGAAACUGAGACAGACAAGAGUGAAGCAAUUUGCCCAGGAGCACACAGUUGGGAAAUGGUGGUAUCCUUUGUACUUUGAAUUCUUUCUUUCUAGAUGUUUGCAGCAUUUUUUUCUUUGACCUAGAAGCUCUGGGGUUGAGGUAUAAUAGUCUAAGGAGUUUUCAUUUUGGGGUUUGUUUCGGGGGGGGGGAGGAAGGACAGUAGAUUCUUUCUUGUUCCACUUUUCCCUUUGGUUCUAAGAAAAGUGAGCAGAUUUCCUUUAAGAUUUCUUGAAAUAGGAUGCUUAUGAUUUUUUUUUUAUCAUGGUAUUCAUAUAAACCAAUGGUUCUUAAAUUUAUAACACCAAGUAAGAUAGGUGUUUGGGACAGUAGACUGAGUCUCAGUUUCACACACAAGGAAGUUAAAAGAUCGAUAAAUGCCCAUGGACAUUUAUUUGGUUAAUUGGUUGUUUGCUACUGGUGGCAAAGUAAAUUUUAAGUAAAUUCAUCUCCUUAUGAGGCAAGUAGCUAAAUAUUUCCCUAUCUGGUAUUGAAUGUGAAAGCAUUUGCUUAUCUCAGUUAAAGAAUUAAAGGGCAAUCUUCUGGACUCAAGGUUAGAAGGGUAGCAGAGCCUAUUCUUCCUCUGAGGAGCAGAAAAGUGGAAGCUUAGUGGAAUUCUCAGAGGAAGGAAGAAAAUGGAAGCAGAAAGGAACUCCAUAGCCAUAUACUUAAUCAAUCAAUUAAUGAACAAACAGUUAAGUACCUACUGUGUCUUUGGCACUGUGUCACCCUUGGCAUCAGCCCAGUAUCCAAUAGAGCAAUGCUUAAUGCCAACUAUAAGAUCAGUAGUGUAUAUGGCAGACCAGCAAGGAGCAGACCUGAUGGAAGGAGAAGAGCAAUGACCUUGCCAAAAUCUUCCUGUGUCCCUGCCACCACUGGAAGCAUGCAUUGCCCUCUCAGACAUGUGCCUCGGUUACAUGUGUUCCUUAUAUUUGUGUCUCUCUACUGGCCACACGUGCUUCCCCCUGGAGGAUCACUUGACAGAGUUAUUGCCAGUGUGAUUCCCAACACAGAUCGGGCCACUACCUGUCAUUUUAUUUCCUUUUUGAGGUCCUGUGGGUCUUGGUGAACUUAUAUUUUGCAUUCAUUUGUUGGCUUCCAAAGAGCCCCACUGAUUGCUGGUGUGGAAAACAUGAAAUGGGGGCAUGUUCAAUGACUAUAGGGGAUUUGAUGAUAAAUUCUUUGCAUCUGAAUCACCUGCAAAAUAUCUUUUUGAAUCCCAGGAUGUGGGUGGGACACUGUGGGUGGCACAGAGAGAAGAUUCCUAUUUUCAGUCCUUACCUUGGGUCUCUAUAGCAACUGUCCUCCAAAUAUCACAGAGCAUGUUUGCACCUCUCACUUCAUUUAUAAUUUAUGACCUCCUUUGAGUGGUGGGAGUGGAAAUCUAGCCAGGGAUGUGAUUGGGUCCUAAGCCACCCUGAGCUCUACGGGGCCUUCUGCUGUGAUUCUGUGAUUCAUUACUGGGGGCUCCUUCCCCUAUCUCAUGCCUCCAUGGAGGCCUAACCACCCAUGGUGCCUCAGGCUGCCUUCAGAGAUACACGCUGAGCAAAAUAAGGGGGUGGAGAGCUCUGCUCAGUGUGCUUUGACAGCUCUCAUGGGUUUAAUUGACAUCUCCAUGCAGGUGACUCCUGGGUCUUUCUUUCCAGGCCUGCUGUUCUCUACCUCAUUAGGUCCCAUUGCAGUAUUGUGUUCUGAUCCAAGAUGCAGCUCCAUGCUGUGUCAUCCGGGUUAAGUCGCAUCCCUCUCUGGGACUCAGCUUCCUGCCUAUGAGAGGAGAGGGAUGGACCUCAAGGUCAAAGACAAACUCAAGAGACAUGUCCAUUAUCCAAAGGAUUCAAAGACAACUUCCUUCUCUUCCUCUGAUCAUCACCCCAUGUCUAGUCAAGAGACAGGGAAAGAGGAGACUGCUUCCAAGUGGCUCAAAAAGGGUCCUUGACAUUGUCGGAUCCCUGUCCUCAUUCCAUCAAAAGGGAAGAGAGAAUUUGUCCUUGAAUAGCACCCCCUCCAGUCCCCCAAUUUCCUCCACGAGAGUGGUUAGGUGGUUGGUAGGGAAGAAAAGGAUUCUGUGCUGGGCAUUAUUUCUGAGUUGGGUCUUAAAGAAAAACUGCUAAGGAAAUCUUGUGAAAAAAUUUAGAUGAAAGUAGUGGUUAUCAAGCAUGUGGUUUUAGGACCUCUUUGCACUCUUAGAAACUGUUGAGGAUUGGGACAUCUAGGAAGCACAGUGGAUAGGGCACCAGGACUGGAGUGGGGAGGACCUGAAUUGAAAUUUCAUCCCAGAUCCUUCCUGGUUGGGUAACCCUGGGCAAGCCAGGUAACUCCCCUUUUCUUGCCCUUGCCCUUCUGUUUUAAUUUUAAAAUUAAAUCUAUUAAAUAAAAUUAAAGUUGUUAGGACAAAAGGUAAGGGUUUGAAAAAAUAAUUUAAAAAGAAAUUAUUGAGGAUGCCUCCCGAGAGCUUUUAUUUAUAUCCUAUCUAUUGUCAUUUGUCAUAUUAUAAAUUAAAAUGUCUUCGUUUUGUUAUGAAAAGAAUUUUCACCUUGCAGACCCCCCAAGAGAGUAUCAGGGAGGACCCCCCAGGGCUCUCUAGACCACACUUUGAGUAUCACUAGACUGAAUUACUGUUCUAAUCUUUUUCUGUAAUCUGUAACAUAAUGAGGAAAUGACUGGGAAGCUCAAUAAGCUUCUACAACUCUGGGUUUAACUGUCAUCCCGGGGAACUAUACAUUCAGCCCCUAACUCUCCCUCCCGCUUCAAUUGCCCAUUACUAAUUAUCCAGUAGACAUUUCAAACAGGAUGUCAAACCAGGGACAGCACACACUCUACAUGGCUAAACUGACCAAAGCAUCUGCCAAGUCCCCUUAACCUCCCCUCUUCCAGUCUUCCCUAGUUCUGUGCAGGAUACCUCUGGCUUUAUAGGGAAAUCAGUUGAGAGAACAAUCGUUUAUUAAGCAUCUCCUAUGAGGGAGGCACAGAGCUUAGCAGACAGUCUCACAGCUCAUUGUUUCCCCCCUCAACAUCCCUGAUCUGACCCCUUCUCUCCUCUCCCCCAGCAACCACCCUGGGCUACUUUACCUCAUCAUCUCUUGCCUAGAUUACUGUGCCAGCCUGCCUCAAAUCUCCCCCCACUCCAGUUGAUCCCAUGAACUAUUGCUAAAGGGAUUUUUCUUCUGUGCAGAUCUGAUCAGGUGAUGCUCCUCCCCCAAAAUACCUCUAGGAUUAACAUCAACUCUUGGCCCCAAUCCUAUCUUUCCAGCCUCAUUGGCUAUUUCUCCCCCUCUCUCCCUUUACUAUCCAGCCUCCUACCUGGCCAUUCCCUCUGCCUAGAAUUCUCCCUUCCCAAGCCCUCUGCCUCCCUCUGUUAAGAUGCAGCUUGGCCACCUCCUUAUUCCAGUAAAUUUUUCUGAUUCCCCCACCUGUUUGAGCCUUCCCAAAGUGCCUGGUUUAGAAUAGCUUCCUAAUUCAUUCAGUUUGGAUGGAAACAUUAAGGGUUGAGUUCCAAGCAGACUUCAGUCAUUGGCUAGCUAUAUGAUCCUAGACCAGUCAUUUCACCUCUGACUGCCUCCAUGUCAUCAGCUGAUAAAAAAAUGAGGUAUAAUUAUAGAACAGCGCUUACUCCCCGAGGCAAUUGUGGGAAUAGAAUGAGAUCAUUCCAGGGUGCUUUGCAAACGUUAAAUUGAUAGAAAUGCCAGCUAUUCAAGGGCCAUAGAAGUACUUCUGAUUAUCAUGAUUCACUUUAUCCUGGGUAUCCCAGAAAUCUAAGCUAACGGUGCUGAAAAAUAGCACUAGGGCUUUUGGGUCACGGCACUCUUUCCCUGUAUACGUGUCCUUGUUUCGUCCUGAUGGAGAUGGAAGCUCAGAGCCCCAGUGCCCAGCCCAGGGAGGAUGCAUUUAGGUGAUUAAGAAGCACUUGCCAAUUAUGUGGACACAGAGUUGUAUGUGUGUGCACACGUGUGUGCUUGCAUACACAUGGUUUGUGGGUAGUUUAGCAAACCAGACUCCAUUCUGUCUUAUUGGGGCUUCUUGAGGGCAGGGACUGUGCUCAUGCUCAGAGCCCCAGUGAGCAGCAUGAGCUGACCUGUGGGAGCCAGGGAUACAUCCCAGCAGAGAAGGUAUCCUUGUGUCUUGGGACCAGGGGCCAGAUGGCAGUCAGUCACCCUUUCUUCCCUGAAACAUUUACCAUCUUCUAGAGCCAGCCUUGAUGCCUUUCAAGGCCAGUAGUGACCCUAAUACCAGCUGGAGAACAGAGGAGAGUACAGAACUUUCAGCCAUAUGAGGAAGUCCCUGGAGGUCCCUGGGGUGGUGAGGACCCUCCCUCCAAGAGAUCCCUGAGGCCACAAGGAUACAGGGUCAGGAGGAGUUGCUGCUGCUUAGAUGGCACCCUACGGGGCUGUCUUAUUUGGAAAAGGUGGAUGGUAAGGAUGAGUGGGGAAAGGAAUAAGUGGCAAGCAAUCCUGCCUCUAUUCUGUCUCCCUCUCUUUCCCUUUCUAGCUUCCCUUCAUGACUUUGUUUUCUUCAUUAGAAUGUAAUAUCCUUGAAGGCAGGGACCACCUCAUUUUCUUGAAUUUGGAUUCUUAGGACUUAGUAUAGUACCUAGAACAUAAUAGGAGAUUAGCAAAUGCUUUAUCUGAUCUUGGGGCAGCUAGGUGUAUGUCAGCCCUGGAGUCAAGAAGGCUUAUUUUGGGGGGGGUUCAAACCCAGCCUUAGACACUGACUAGCUGUGGGACCCUGGGCAAGUCAUUCAACUCUGUUGGCCUCAGUUUUCUCAUCUGUAAAAUGAGCUGGAAAAAAUGGCAAAACACCCCAAUAUUUUUACCAAGAAAAGCCCAAAUGGGAUCAUAAGGAGUCAUACACUACUGAACAACAAUUCUCUAAGCCCAGGUUAAUUCAAUAGGAGUGAACACACAGCAAUACCCUCCCCAAAUAGGAGGAGCAAAGGGCCCAAAGAGACCAACCAGGGCAGGAUCCACCUUCCUCAUAAGUCCCUUCCUGUAGUCAAAUGUAAUAGACUUCUUUACUAGGAGCAAUGCAAUGAUCCUGGACAAUUCUGAGGGACUUAUGAGAAAGAACACUAUCCACAUCCAGAGGAAGAACUGUGGGAGCAGAAACAUAGAAGAAAAACACAUGAUUGAUCAUGUGGUUCAAUAGGGAUAUGAUUGGGGAUAUAGACUCUAAACGAUCACCCUAGAGCAAAUAUCAAUAAUAUGGAAAUAGAUUUUGAACAAUGACACAUGUAAAACCCAGUGGAUAUGAUCCACUUCUCAGAAUCUGAGGAUUUGGCAAGUAAUUGGGUAUUUAUUUCUUUACACAAUCCUUCCUCCACCUAAAAAUGAAUAGCUAAGAUGAGCUUUUUGUUCUUCACUUGUGCCCAACCCUUCAUGCCCUGUGGACCGUGGCUCUCCUUGGGGCUUUCUUGGCACAGUUUGAUGUUUCCUUCCCCGGUGGGUCUUAGGUUAUUUUAAAAGUCUAAGAUGAUGGAGAUAACUUUUGGUUGCAUCUUAUCAGAAGUAUGGUAGCAAGUUCCAGGGAGGGACCCACAGUGACAGACAGAACCAUAUCCCAGGAGGGGGACAAGGGCAUGGGGGAAACCAUGGCAGAAAAGCAGUGGGCCUGUGAGUGAUUGCUGUUAGGGCCAGUUACUUGGGUAACAUUCUACAGCAGGCUGAGUCCCGCAUCAGCUCAAGGUCCCUGGAUGAAGGAUGUGGUAAAAGAAGAUUUCAGGGGACCAGGAUGGCUGUCCUCAAGUAUGUUGGAGCUCUCAGGAGGAGGAGGAGGGAAUAGAGCCAUUCUGCUUGUCUCCAGGAGGAAGAACUCUUAGCAUUGAAGAAAGACCACAGAGAGGCAGGGAAAACAUCCUGAUAGUGGUAGGUAGUGAGUUCCCUGACACCAGAAGUAAAAAACAAUACUUCCCACUCCUUCCCCCAAUUUGGAAGGUAAGCCUCUUGAGGGCCAGGCUUUCUUUUCAUAUUUCAUAAUAUAUUUGGGCAAAUCCCUUCCCCUCCCUGAAUCUCAGUUGCCCUCAGGGAGUUUACAGUCUAUUGGGAGAGAUGACAUGUCAGAAUAUAAGCCUAUGCCAAAUAUGUACCCCAAAAGCUAUUUCAGAGGGGAGAGAGGCACUAGCAUUUGGGGAGGAGGCAAAGAUCAAGAAGGAUCUCAGCUUUGAAAGACGCAAAGAUUCAAAGUGGCCAUGUGGAGGGAUCCAUUCCAGGCAUGGGGGCAGCCAGUGGAAAGGUAGAGAGGUGGGAGAUGGUGGGUCCUAUAUGAUAAACAGCAAGGAUGCCAAUGUGGACAGAUCAUGUACAAUAAGGCAGGUGGGAACCAUGCUGUGAAGCCUCAGAUGCCACCCAAAAGUUAGUUGGUCCAGAAAGUAACAAGGAUCUGCUGGGGUUUAUUGAGUAGGUAAUGGCAAGGUCAGAUCUGCCUUUAGGUUAUGGUAUCUGCCCAUCACUGAGUCAGCUAUGGAGCAUGGGUUAGAAAGCUGAGGGACUCGAGGCAGAGUCAGGGUUGAGGCACUGGGGGCUAUCACAACAGCCCAGGUGGGAGGUAGUGAUAGCCUGACCUAGGGUGGGGACUGUGAGUAGAGAGAAGGGGACAUACAUAAGCAAUGAUGUGGAUGUAGAAAGGAUAAGAUUUGGCAUUUGAUUGGCUAUUGUCAUAAAGGAGAGUGGGAGUGGGGUAGCUAAGUGGCUCUAUAAUACACAAAGUUCCAGGCCUGGAGAGAAGAAGAUUCCUGUGUUCAAAUCCAGCCUCACACAUUUACUAGUAGUGUGACCCUGGGCAAAUCACUUAAUCCUAUCUGACUCAGUUUCCUCCUUUGUAAAAUGAGUUGGAGAUGGAAAUGGCCAACCAUUCCUGUAUUUUUGCCAAGGAAAUCACAAAUGGGGUCAUGUGACUGAAGGAGGGUGAGAAGGUUGUAAGCCUGGAUAACUAGAAAGACAGCGAAGCCUUCACUAGUAAUAGAAUGGUUCAGAAGCAGGAAAGAUUCAGUGGGAAAGAUGAGCUCCGUUCUGGACACGUUGAGUUUGAGAUGCCUUUGGGACAUCCAGUUUGGAAUGUCCACGAGGCAGUCAGAGGUGCGGGACUAGAGCUCUGGAGACACAUUCAGACUGGACAUAAAUGGGUCUGAGAGCAAUGUGCGCAGAAGAGAUUUAACCCCCUGGAAGCUUAUGGGGUCACUGAGAGAAAUGAGAGAGAAGAUAUUGUAGGCUAACUCUUAAUCAGGGUCAAGAUUUUGAAAUGCAGUAAGCACUCAUGGGACAUAAAAGCUGCAAUUAAAACUACUUUGCUAAAUAAGAGAUGAAAAGAUUCAAUUAAAAUAAGUGUCUUGGGGGAAUGAAAGCAGAGGGUUUCUCAGAAGCUCCUCUAGAAUGAGCAGAGCCAGGGAAAUCUUUCCUAGAAGGAAAGGAAGAAGAAAAAAGAAACAUCUAGCACUGGCCCCUCCUGGGGUAGGUCUUUAAAACUGACCUUAGGUUAUUAACAAGAAAGAUGGCACCCAUACCAUCUUGAAGGACUAGGCUGACUUUCAUAAAGCAGGUAUUGAACAGAAUAGAAAGAUGAAGAUGGACCAGCAUAUUUGGCAAUAAAGAGAUGCUCACUGAUUUUGAAGUUGGAAGCCAUAUUGCAAUGGGAUUAGGAGAAAGAGAGAGAAAACAAUAGCAACUUUUUUUUUUCUAGAACUGACUGUGAAAGGAAGGAAAGAUAUAGAAUUCAUAGCUUCUGGAUAAAAUGAGUUUCAGGGAAGGUUUUGCUUUAUUUUUAGGAUGAGGGAAACAUGGCUAUGAUUUUGGGCAGCAGAGAAGAAACGAGAGAAGAAUGGUAGUGGAGCAAUCUACUGGAAAAGAUAGGAAGGGAUGGGAUCAAGGACAAGGUAGAGGGGUUGGUGUUGGAGUGCCAUAUUGGAAUGGUUAACUGCAGGGCUGAGUUUGGGAGGGAGAAAUGCAUGCCAGAACUGGGAUGGUAGAAAUCUUAGAGGAUUUGGAGGUGCCAGUGAGGAUAAAGACUGGGCUUAUGACUGGAUAAAGUCAUCUGCCAUCACAGAAGUGGAACAUUCAGAAGUGAGGGCAAGAUGGAGAGUGUGCAGCUGACAUGGAGUGGAGGAGAAGGUCAUGGGAAUGUUAAGGAGAUCGAGAGUGUUAGAGAGUUUGAGGGAGUGUCAAUAUGAAUAGAUAGAUGAGUCUUUUAGUGUAAGGGUAGGGGUUGGGGUGGAAGGGAAGUCUGUACUAAGUUCCUCAAGGAAGGAAGGAGAAUGAACUGAGGUUUGAAAGGUUCUGGAUCUUCUGGAUCACUAAGCAAAAGACUUGCUGCUUUUGGCAUUUCUGGCCUUGAUCUUUCAGAGGCCAAUCGAAACUGAAUAAAGAGAACUCAGUUAACUGGUUAGAUAUGAACCAUGGCUAGAAGGGGGCAGCAGAGUCACAACUCCCCAGGAUUUAGACCUGGGAAGAUGAGUGAAGGUGGCAACAGUGAUGUCAGCAGGAAGUCACUCAAGGGGAAAGAUAGUGAACCAGGCUUUGGACAGACAAAGUUGGAGAUGCUGGUGGCACAUUCCACUUCUCUUUUGUCUCCACUUUGCCCUCUUCUUCUCUUCCAUACUGCCCUCCAGUCCCCCAGUAUGUUAAUGAACUUCCUUCAUCCUAGAUACCUACCUCUCACAUUCUUUUAUCUUAGAAUCAUAGAUACCUACUCUUCAGAGAGGAUCCUGGCAUCCUGGCACCACUAGUCUGUUUCUAAUUCCCUUGAGUGCCCACAUGCCAGCUGCAUGGGGCCAAGGGGAGGAAUUGGCCUCCACUUAGCUUCUUAUUAUCUUUGCUCUCCCCUGCCACUGCUGCUAUCCCUCAGCAACUUCUCAUCCUUUGAGGUGUACUCCAACCAUCUCUCUCACCUUACCUUGUCACAGUCAUCUUCGAGCCCCCAGCUCACUGACCCUCUUCUUUAGGAUUCAGUGCCCAGCUCAGUCUUCUCCACCCCAAACCUCAUAUUUGGGGGCCUGGGUCCCAUACAAUGCAUCAGUCUCCUUGAUUUCCAUGACUUGUCCCUACAGAACCCUUCAGCCAUAUCCUGGAGUGGUCAUGCAUCAGAUCGUCAAAGAAGGUUGUUGCCUCCACAGUCCCAAACCCUGAAACUAACUCUCAUACUUCUAUCUCUCUCUACCUCACAUUCCUCAACCUUCUCUUCAUCAUCAAAAUACCUCCUUCUCCUUCUCCCUUCCACCAUCACACCCCAGUCCCAGUUCAGUCCCAGUCCACUCCUCUGUUUGCAUCCUUUGUUCUCUUUUUUAUUGUCCCUAAACCCUGAGGUACCUGUGCUCUUCCUCACAGACUACAGCUGGAGGUAGUCCUAUAGAAGAAGAAGUUAAGGAAAACUGGAGUCCAGAGAAGUUAUAUGACUUAUCCUAGGUCACAUAAAGUAAGUGUCUGAGGAAGGAGCCUUCCUGAUCCUAAGUUUAACAUGUUUUGGAAGCUGAUUUUUCCUCUAGGUUGCCAGAUUUGACUUGUGAGGCUCAAAAUGCCCAUCAAAUCCAACUCUUCUGGUCCACAGAUGUUAAUGGCCAAGAGAGCUAUAAAAAGGGAGAGGCUGCCUCUUCAGUGUGGCCAGCUGCCUUCUUCCCUGCACUCUCCAAAUAGACACCUUUCCCCUCAUUAAAGUUGGUGUUUCCUUUGGGAAAGUGUGGAUUAAAGAAUAAAAGCAAGUCCCCUGCCAGUCUUGGGCUAGGUUAAGAGAGGGCACUUCUCUGCUGACAAUAUGGCAAUAUGACAAGACUGGCAUAUGCCUGGUGGGAAGAAUUCCAGGAUGGAGCAACUGCUUCAUAGGAGGACAGAUGAGAGGAACUCAGGAGCUCAGAAAAAAAAGUUUUUCUGAGAAGAGAAGGCAAUGGGAUGGUGAAAGCUGCCUAUUCCUGCAGCUUCAAGAGACAGACUGAACAUUGAGCAAAAUGAUUUAUCCUAGAAGUUUUGAAAAAUGGCAACCAGGAAAUGUUUCUCCCUGUACAAUCUGAUUUAUUCAUGAUCUGUAAAGCUCUCUGAGGAAUCUGUGGAGAAGACUGAGCAGAAGAAGGUGAGGAGAAACAUCUGCCUUGUCGGAACGAUUUUGAUUGUGCUGUUAAAAGAGAGAUAAAGAGAAUUCUAGGAAGACUGUGAGGAACUGAAAAGUACAAGGUAUUUUGAAAAGACAUACCUGAGGUGAUGAGAAAGAGGACAAUGAGAAAAUGAGACCAAUUCUGAGAAGAAAAAUAAGAAUAUAAGCAAUUUGGAUUUUAAUCAGUAUCUGGAGUGAAAUGAAUGGUAUAAAACCGUGUUCCCAGAUCACUGCCGAGGAGUCCUAUGGGGGUUUUGAGAUGAUUCAGGCUGACAGUUGUGAAUUUUAGAUUUUCUCCACUCUGAUUAAAUCUUUAAAAUUCUUAACAAACAGGAAUGUCUACACCCUUACUCAAGGAUUAAGUAUUGAGAAGGAUGGCCUAUGACAUGUGCUAGCAAGUGACAAAUCGGAAACAACUGACAGACCCCUGGGCUGUCCUAAGUCAAGCUUAAGCUACAAUGGUAGCUUUGAGAUGCAGGAAGUGAUGUGAAAAAAAAGCCUACAUAUUUGCAUCACUUCCUCUUGCUGGCGGGAAGGCAUUGAGCUCUGGGUCUCUCUUUCAGAGAUGCUGGGUUCAGCAGUGGUGUGGCUGGUGGCAGCGUGCUGGACAUCUUGGGGUCUUGGCAUCUUGGCAUGCCUGCAGCUCUUGUCCGGUUUUGGCGGUGAGCAUCCUUGGUGUGGUGACUGGGAGAAGCUCAAUAGCAUGAGUCAAGUGAGGUGUCUUCCCUGAGCUCUCUUGGAGUUUAAGCUGAUUCCCGUUUUUCCUACCUUUCCCAAGAUGCUAUCCUCCUAGGAGGCCCCUCAUCUCGGAGGAGGCCUCGUGGCUGGAAGCCAAGCUAGAUUUAAUCUUGGAGGAGGCCUCGUGGCUGGAAGCCAAGCUAGAUUUAAUCUUGGAGGAGGCCUCAUGGCUGAGGUCUCUGAACUUCCCUUGGCUAAGAGCAGCUAAGCAGAAAGAGAGCCAGGCCUGGCAUAGGGUGGUCCUUGGUUCAAAUCUGUCCUCAGACACAUCCAUAUCAUAGUUGUGUGACUCUGGGCAAAAUCACUUAACCCUGAUCACCUAGCCCUUACCACUCUUCUGCCUUGGAAUAAUACUUAGCUUCCAUUCUAAGACUGAAGGCAAGGGUUUUUUAAAAAGAAUGCUGAACACGGUAGGUAAACAGUAGGAGCUUAAUAAUUGCUUCUCAUUCUCUUCCCCUUUCUUUUGAAGCUGUGAGCAUAGAUACAGAGGGUAAAUGGAACGCAGUGAAAGGCUCCAGCUGGUCUUACUUUGAGCAGCCAUUUCUUUAGCUGAUCCAUCUGGUCCUCUUGGGUGCUUCACCUCCAUCUUCCCAUUCUGUGCCUCCUUUCCUUCCUUUGCCUCUCAUUCCCCUGCCUAAUAGCAUUCUGUGCUGUUACUCCUACCUUUGACUGCAGUGCCAUUUGGGACUCCAGGGCUGGCUGUUCUUCCCUUUUGCUCUCCCCUCCCCACUCUCCCCAGUGCUGGGCUGCAGCUGGUUUGGGUUCAUAAUGAGGAGUCAGUGACCUUCUGUGUUCACCAUGAUGGAAGGAGGGGAUCCAGACCAAUUUAAUCAGCAGAAGACAAAGGCGUCUGGGCAGGCAACUAGCCAGCAGAGACCCUGACCCUACAGCUGAGGUUGUUUUCCUACAGACAAAUCCCUGGGGGUGGGCUUUGAAACAGCACCACAGGGUUCAGCCCCACUAACCACUGAUCUCUCUGCCUCUUUGCCCACAGCUCAAGUGUUCCAGCAGCUAGCCUGCUGGCAUAUGCCCAGAGGAGCUUCGCCAUUAUUCCACUUCCCAGCUGUCUGCAAAAAAUAGUCCUGAAGUGUCUCUUUCAUGGGUCUUAAAGGGAAUCUGACUCAGAACCAGAGAGUUUGAAAAAUGAUCUCUAUCUCUGCUGGGCACAAUGUCGGGCAACGCUUUUCCCUUCUUCUCCUUAUUAAAUUUUCUAGGCUAAAAAAUUGUGGAAAUGGACCGUGACGGAUAAACACAUACAUGCACACACUUGAACAGAAUGCUCUCAUAUGUGCCCAUGUGUGAUCUCUGGCAACUUAGCUUUCAUGAGUGAUGGUUGCUGAUCCAUAUAACUCCAAUUUUUUGAGCGAGAGAAAGAGAGAGAGACAGAGAGGAGAAAGAAGAGAGAGGAGGAGAAGGCUUAGUUACAUAAUUUGUAAAAAGUAGAUAAUAAUCACACUCCCUACCUCACUGGGUUCUGACAAGGCUGAGCCUGCCAACUUAAAAAAAAACAAACUGUAGAUGUUUUUUAUCAACAAUAAUUAUCACCAAAUAGAAUAAGAGCCAUAUAGAUUAAGUGCCAUUUGAGAUCUGAAGAGAGGAGAAUUUGUAAUGGGGGAAAAUCAGGAAAGGCUUCCUGGAAGAGGUUGCAUUUGUUUUUGACCUAAGAAGGUGGCUAGAUCCCAAAAAGGCAGAAUUGGUAAGUCAAAGAACAAUCAUAAAAACAAAAAGGAAAAUUCAUCAAAGAAAAUAAAAAUAAGACAACUUACCGCAUUUUGGAGGAGUAACUCAAGAAGUCCUUUAGGGGAAAAUAUAUAUCUCUAAACUUUUAUCAACAAAAUCAAGAAAGAGAAGAGCAAUGAAUUGGGCCCAAAAACACUAGAAAAAAAAAACAAAACAAAACCAUCAAUUAAAUACAUUUUGAAAUCUAAGAAGAGUUUAGCAAAAUUGAAAGAAGAAAACCUGACUGAUUUGAUAAAUAAGCGUAUCACCCUGUUUUGGUUGGAAAGCCAAUGAAUUAUAGUUAACUAAGUCUGAUGGAAAUAAAAGAGUGAGGAAAAUGAUAUUCUUUUGAUUAAAAGGAAAAAAAGGAAAAUUCACAUCCAAUGAAUAAUAAAUUAUCAGAAACCACUUUGUCUGGUUAUAUGUCAACCAAACCGAUAACUUAGAUAAAAUAUAUUAAUAUUUUACAAAAAAUAAAAUGCCCAUGUUGACAAAACCAAAAUGGAUUGUUUAAAUGGUCCAGUAUCAGAAAAAAGAAGUCAAACAAGCCACAAACUCUCAAAGAGAAAAUUAGAAACAAUUGGUUUUACAAAUAAAUUCUUAUCAUUCACAGAAUGAUUAAUUCCAAUUUCCAGAGACCAUUUACAAAAUUAGGGAAAAAUAUUCUUCUAAAAUUUUUCUAGCUUUCAAAAAUGGUCAUGAUAAACAAACCAGGGAAUUCCAAUUCAGAAAAUGAAAACUAUAGACCAAUAUCCCCAAUGAACAUGGAUGCAACAAUUUUAAAAUGCAAUAUUAUCAAGAGGGUUGCAAAUACAUGUUAGGAAAAUCAUGCAAUGUGACCAGGUUGAAUUUAUUUUAUGAAUGUAAGAAUGGUUCAAUUCAAGGAAAAGUAUGAAA